GGAUGCCUGAAAGUGACGACGUCAGUUGCGUCAGUUUACAGGCGUGACACAGCUGGUAUAAAAUGAGACGAGCGGCCAUGAUUCUUUCUCUGCGGCAGUCCUCGAGAAGCAUGUGAGAUGGUUACGUGCUUUUUCGUCAAAGCAUCUGAAAACUGGUCAAGUAAGAGUCCAUGACGUCCACAGAAGUGAACCUGCUUCUGAAGGCCCAACGCUGGAAUUGGUGUUUCAUUAAUUUGUAUCUGGUCCUUUAUGUAAAAAUGUUGGAACCUGUUUAACCCUUUGUUUUAAGUCCGUAGUCAUGCACCGACUAUUUUUGCCAUCCUUUUUUGGUCCAGUUUAUAGCAUAUUUAAACGUGUUUCUGUAUUUUGAGCAUUUCUAAUAAACCAUACAUCUUUA